AACAGAAAUAAUAAAAAGCUGCCGUGACAGUUCCAGUGCGCCGAGCCAGAGCAAUAUCCUUCGAAAGGCUGUCGUGGCAACAUACACACUUUCACAUACACAUCCAGAACCAGAUCCAGAUCCAGCCGAUACCCCCGUGGAGUGGAGUGAAAAUUCAUUGACGAUUGGGGGGCGAAAAAGCUCUGGCCAAAAGCGAGUGAGAAAAGGGCAAACAGGAGCGAGAGCGAUAGCGAAAGCGAAAGCAAAAGCGCAACCCUCGACAACAAAAACAACGAAGCGAGUUCAGCUGCACCACCCACACCAUACCACCACUACAACCUCGUAACCACCGCCACAACCACAUACCGACCGUUGGGCCAAGUGCAUAGAGUAAUCAUCAUUAAAAUCAUCGUCGCACCGCCAGCCGAAUUCGUAGAGACAACCACCACGGGCUGCAACAGCACCACCUGAAGAAACCACUCAGAAAAAACCGAAAACACAACCCAACACAGAAAUAGCACAGAAACCGAGGUAAAGCUCUCAGUUUUUUGUGAGGCUCUGAAAUGGGCAAGAAAGACAAGAACAAGGAACCGGCGGACGCUGCACCAGCUGGCGAUGCACCACCAAAUGCCGGAGCUCCGGCCGGAGAGGGCGGCGAUGGCGAGAUUGUGGGCGGGCCACACAAUCCCCAGCAGAUUGCGGCACAGAAGCGUCUCCAGCAGACACAGGCGCAGGUCGAUGAGGUGGUCGACAUCAUGCGCACAAAUGUGGAGAAGGUGCUGGAGCGCGACAGCAAGCUGUCGGAGCUGGACGAUCGUGCCGAUGCCUUGCAGCAAGGUGCCUCGCAGUUCGAGCAGCAGGCGGGCAAGCUCAAGAGGAAAUUCUGGCUCCAGAACUUGAAGAUGAUGAUCAUCAUGGGCGUGAUUGGACUGGUUGUCGUGGGUAUCAUUGCAAAACCAUAUAUGUCGGAUGAUAAUGCUGCUCCGCAGCCUAAUGCCGUGCCACAGCAGGUGGCUCCGGCUCUGGCUCCGGCAUCUGCACCCGAAUCAGCUGCACCACCACCACUACAACCACAACAACUACAACAACACCACCAUACACUUAAAUCUGAACCACCGACACUCGAGAAACCAUUGGCCGAGAAAUUGACCGACAUCCCACAGAGUCCGUCGGAUGAAGUGGCGACUGGACAAUAGAACGCUUCCAAAAAAUUCCGAAUUCAGAAAAACACCAACUGAACAGCAACAACAAGAACAACAACUAAAACUAAUCAGCCAAGCAACCAUCGACUAACCACCUCCAAGCUGCAUCCAUAGAAACAUACUCUCGUAUAGUCUCAAAAUUAACCAAAAUUUUAGAAGAAAAGAUAACAUUUCACACUCUCUUAGUACUUUGUACCAUUGAAAUACGACCUUAUUCGACAUACACUAUAAACUCGGCCUCAUAGGCGGGGAGCAGCCGCCCCAGUACCAGUAUCCCCCGCAGUACAUGCAGCCACCGCCGCCGCCGCC
rnacentral:misc_RNA from 1 species